AUGCAGUCGAGCGAAUCUGAGGGAGCUUGCUCCCAAAGAUUAGCGGCGGACGGGUGAGUAACACGUGGGCAACCUGCCUGUAAGACUGGGAUAACUCCGGGAAACCGGGGCUAAUACCGGAUAAUAUCUAUUUAUACAUAUAAUUAGAUUGAAAGAUGGUUCUGCUAUCACUUACAGAUGGGCCCGCGGCGCAUUAGCUAGUUGGUGAGGUAACGGCUCACCAAGGCGACNAUGCGUAGCCGACCUGAGAGGGUGAUCGGCCACACUGGGACUGAGACACGGCCCAGACUCCUACGGGAGGCAGCAGUAGGGAAUCUUCCGCAAUGGACNAAAGUCUGACGGAGCAACGCCGCGUGAGUGAUGAAGGUUUUCGGAUCGUAAAACUCUGUUGUUAGGGAAGAACAAGUACCGGAGUAACUGCCGGUACCUUGACGGUACCUAACCAGAAAGCCACGGCUAACUACGUGCCAGCANCCGCGGUAAUACGUAGGUGGCAAGCGUUGUCCGGAAUUAUUGGGCGUAAAGCGCGCGCAGGCGGUU
rnacentral:rRNA from 1 species